AAACUAACAAACCGCAGCACUUGGUUACGCGUCUGCGUGGCAAAUCGUACGGUUAAAAGCGUGUCUAGUCCGGAUGUCGCCAUUACUUUUCCCGAACGACAGUUUAUCCGUAGAACGUGUACUACUAGUCGGAAAUCCAAUCAAUUCGACUCUCUGGACAGACCUUCCACACUCUACACUCUAUGUAAAUUUGGGACUAUUUGCCUGACUGGCUGGAUACACACACUCGGAGCCACGUACGGGAAUAAUAUUUAAGGACCUCUCCUUGUCGACGUUGUCUCGUCCUCGUGUGUGGCUGUCAUAAAAUGGCAAAAAAGGCACCAAAAUGAUAAUAAACCUUUCUGAA